rnacentral:rRNA from 1 species
CCUACGGGAGGCAGCAGUGGGGAAUAUUGGGCAAUGGGCGAAAGCCUGACCCAGCCACGCCGCGUGAGUGAUGAAGGCCUUCGGGUCGUAAAGCUCUGUGGGGAGGGACGAAAAAGACGGGAGCUAAUAUCCCCGGACUUGACGGUACCUCCUUAGCAAGCACCGGCUAACCCUGUGCCAGCAGCCGCGGUAAUACAGGGGGUGCAAACGUUGCUCGGAAUUAUUGGGCGUAAAGCGCGCGUAGGCGGUAGCGCAAGUCGGAUGUGAAAUCCCUCGGCUUAACUGAGGAAGUGCAUCCGAAACUGCGUCACUAGAGUACCAAAGAGGAUCGCGGAAUUCCCGGUGUAGAGGUGAAAUUCGUAGAUAUCGGGAGGAACACCAGCGGCGAAGGCGGCGAUCUGGGUGGAAACUGACGCUGAGGCGCGAAAGUGUGGGGAGCA